GGCCACUCGCGGACUCGCCCACUCCCCGCUAGCGCUCGGCCGCCUCCGCUGGAGGCUGGAGCUCCUUUCCGUUGCCACUCGCCACGAGCAGCCUGACCUCUCACUCCCAGGCUGCCCUCCCAAGGCGCCGUCGCGCCGACCGGAUCAGACGGCAGACGGCCGCUGCCACUCCGGUCUGCGGAGGAUCUGCUUCGGCCUCUCGUCUCCUCCGGUCCUCGCCCGCUCCAGUGCUCCCUGCCCCGGUCGUGGAACUGAAGAUGAAGAGGAAUGGUGACAUUAAGUCCUUUUUCAGGAAUUAUGAGGCAAAAACAAGAAAGGUUGUAGCCCCUCAUGAAGAGCAACCUGAACCUGAUAUUGAUCCACCUCUAGUCCAUUCAGAUGCAGAGAUUGACAUUGAUAUCGAUCCACGUCCGGUCCAUUCGGAUGCAGAGAUUGACAUUGAUAUUGAUGAUGAAGCGCCACGGCAACCAUGACUAGCUAGACCCAGCGACACUCGUUGGGGUUUUCAUUUUAAAACCAUUAUGCACAUUGUUAGCAUGUAUUCCACAAUCCUUGAAGUACUUGAUGCUAUUGGAAAAGAUCCUUCACAAAAAAGUGAGUGGACAAGAAUACGUGGAGUUGCUCAAGCCUUUGAAUCAUUUGACUUUGUUUUCAAUCUUCACUUGAUGCUUGUUAUUCUUGGCUAUACAAAUGAGUUGUCCAAAUCUUUG